rnacentral:rRNA from 1 species
GACGAACGCUGGCGGCGUGCCUAAUACAUGCAAGUCGAACGAAAGGACGAGGACCUUGCUUCUCUGAUGUUAGCGGCGGUCGGGUGCGUACCACGUGGUUAACCUACCUAUACGACUGGGAUAACUUCGGGAAACCGGAGCUAAUACCGGAUAAUAUUUUGAACUUCAUUGUUCCAAAGUGAAAGUCGGUCUUGCUGUCACUUAUAGCUGGAUCCGCGUUGCAUUAGUUAGUUGGUAAGGUAACGGCUUAGCAAGGCUACGAUGCAUAGCCGACCUGAACGGGUGAUCGCCCACACUGGAACUGAGACACGGCCCAGACUCCUACGGGGGGCAGCAGUAGGGAAUCUUCCGCAAGGGGGGAAAGCGGGACGGAGCACCGCGGGGGAAGGGAUGAAGGUCUUCGGAUCGGAAAAUGCUGUUAUUAGGAAGGAACAAAUGUGUAAUUAACUGUGCAGAUCUUGACGGUACCUAAUCAGAAAGCCACGGCUAACUACGUG